UUGGAGGGCAAGUCUGGUGCCAGCAGCCGCGGUAAUUCCAGCUCCAAUAGCGUAUAUUAAAGUUGUUGCAGUUAAAAAGCUCGUAGUUGAACUUCGGGGUUUACCCAUUGGUCAGGCUUAAUUGUCUGCACUGGUGAGAUGAAUCUCUACCUUCUGAGGAACUUUCAUGCCAUUUAUUUGGUGUGAUGGGAAAUCAGGAUUGUUACUUUGAAAAAAUUAGAGUGUUUAAAGCAGGCUAACGUCUGAAUACAUUAGCAUGGAAUAAUGAAAUAGGACGGACUGAUUCUAUUUCGUUGGUUUCUAGGAUCACCGUAAUGAUUAAUAGGGAUAGUUGGGGGCAUUAGUAUUCAAUUGUCAGAGGUGAAAUUCUUGGAUUUAUUGAAGACUAACUACUGCGAAAGCAUUUGCCAAGGAUGUUUUCAUUAAUCAAGAACGAAAGUUAGGGGAUCGAAGACGAUCAGAUACCGUCGUAGUCUUAACCAUAAACUAUGCCGACUAGGGAUCGGACGAAGUUAAUUUUAUAAUGACGCGUUCGGCGCCUUACGGGAAAC
rnacentral:rRNA from 1 species